AUGAUAGGCUUGAGCUGGAACUGCCGAGGAAUCGGGGGCGCCUCGACGGUUCGCGAUCUCACUGCCCUCGUCCAAAGUCAUCGUCCGCAAUUUGUUUUUUUGUGUGAAACUAGGCAGAAGUCAAAUAAAGUUCGUUGUCUACGCCAUCGUUUGGGUCUUCGUGGUUUCAGUGGAGUCGAUAUCAAUGGUCAAAGCGGUGGUCUAGCUUUGUUUUGGAAUGAUCAGUUGUCAGUUGAGAUCAAAGAUCAGAAUGAAAGAAUGAUUGAUGCUUACGUUCGUGCCUCACCCAAUGAUCCGUUGUGGCAUCUUACUUGUGUGUACGGCGAACCACGUACUGAAAAUAGACAUCGAAUGUGGUCCAUCAUGUCGCAGUUGAGGGCUAGUAGUGAUCUCCCGUGGAUGCUGAUGGGAGACUUCAAUGAAGCUCUCUGGCAAUGCGAGCACUUGUCAGCUACCCCUCGGCCUGCUUGCCAGAUUGCAGCCUUCCGUGACAUCGUCCAAGACUGUGAGCUCCAUGACCUUGGGUUUUCAGGAGCACCAUUCACAUAUGAUAACAAGCGAAAAGGAAGAGCGAAUGUCAAAGUUAGGUUGGACCGAGCCCUGGCCGACGACCGCUGGAGGGACUUAUUCUCUGAUGCACGUGUGGUACACCUCGUGUCCCCUUGUUCUGAUCACCUACCGAUCAUAAUUGAGCUGCAGAAGGAAGAGCGCCCACCAAGCCGUGGCUGCACCAACGAUAUGAAAUAUUCUGGGAACGAGCAGGCGAAUUGCCAGAGAUCAUCCAGAGGGCUUGGGAUGCUACCCAAACAAGUGGGAAUCUGGCUUCGGUAA
rnacentral:rRNA from 1 species